CUGGUCAGAUGCUCAUCAAUCUAUAUUACCUUGCAUAUUUACGACCAAAAAGAGCAUAUAAACAAACGCAUUACAUUAUGUAAGUUAUUACCGCCUAGUCUAGUAUAAUUCUGACUUGUGGAAUUAGAGAAUGCUUAUGAUUUGAGGGCAACUAACAGUAGUGCAUAAGCUUAACUGAAUAACCUAGCGUUCCCUAAAGUCUUUAAGUACAUGGGUAUAUAUGCUAACUAACUAUAGA